rnacentral:rRNA from 1 species
UACAGAGGUCUCAAGCGUUGUUCGGAUUCAUUGGGCGUAAAGGGUGCGUAGGUGGCGCUGUAAGUCGGGUGUGAAAUUUCGGAGCUUAACCCCGAAACUGCAUUCGAUACUGCGGUGCUUGAGGACUGGAGAGGAGACUGGAAUUCAUGGUGUAGCAGUGAAAUGCGGAGAGAUCAUGAGGAAGACCAGUGGCGAAGGCGGGUCUCUGGACAGUUCCUGACACUGAGGCACGAAGGCCAGGGGAGCAAACGGG